AUUUCUCUAGUAUUAACAAGUACAGUUGACUUCCAAUCAAUUAGUUCUGGUGUAACCCAGAGAGAAAUA
rnacentral:tRNA from 1 species